CCUACGGGUGGCUGCAGUCGAGAAUUUUUGGCAAUGGGGGAAACCCUGACCAAGCGAUGCCGCGUGCGGGAUGAAGGCCUUCGGGUUGUAAACCGCUGUCAGUGGGGAGAAAAGGACGGAUGUACUCCGUUUUGAUCUAUCCGCAGAGGAAGUGUGGGCUAAGCUCGUGCCAGCAGCCGCGGUAAGACGAGCCACACGAACGUUAUUCGGAAUUACUGGGCUUAAGGGGUGCGUACGCAGCGUUGAAAGUGAAAUCCCUCGGCUUAGCCGAGGAACUGCGCCCAAAACUACCGUGCUCGAGGAAGAUAGAGGUGAGCGGAACUCACGGUGGAGCGGUGAAAUGCGUUGAGAUCGUGAGGAACACCCGUGGCGAAAGCGGCUCACUGGGUCUUUUCUGACGCUGAUGCACGAAAGCUAGGGGAGCAAACGGGAUUAGAUACCCCUGUAGUC
rnacentral:rRNA from 1 species